rnacentral:rRNA from 1 species
UGGGGAAUUUUGGACAAUGGGGGAAACCCUGAUCCAGCCAUCCCGCGUGUGCGAUGAAGGCCUUCGGGUUGUAAAGCACUUUUGGCAGGAAAGAAACGUCGCGGGUUAAUACCCCGCGAAACUGACGGUACCUGCAGAAUAAGCACCGGCUAACUACGUGCCAGCAGCCGCGGUAAUACGUAGGGUGCAAGCGUUAAUCGGAAUUACUGGGCGUAAAGCGUGCGCAGGCGGUUCGGAAAGAAAGAUGUGAAAUCCCAGAGCUUAACUUUGGAACUGCAUUUUUAACUACCGGGCUAGAGUGUGUCAGAGGGAGGUGGAAUUCCGCGUGUAGCAGUGAAAUGCGUGGAUAUGCGGAGGAACACCGAUGGCGAAGGCAGCCUCCUGGGAUAACACUGACGCUCAUGCACGAAAGCGUGGGGAGCAAACAGGAUUAGAUACCCUGGUAGUCCACGCCCUAAACGAUGUCAACUAGCUGUUGGGGGCCUUCGGGCCUUGGUAGCGCAGCUAACGCGUGAAGUUGACCGCCUGGGGAGUACGGUCGCAAGAUUAAAACUCAAAUGAAUUGACGGGG